ACAGUUCAUGAGGUUUUUGCCCUCUCAAAAGCCAAUAACCCCAAGCUAGUCUUUCUUUGUGAGACUAGACAGGAGGCAACCAAGGUAGAGAAAAUGAGGUGGAGGCUGGGCCUAAAAGGCUUCCACAGAGUCAGUAGUGAUGGAAGAAGCGGAGGGCUAGCUUUGUUCUGGGAUGAGAAUCUCACAGUUACAGUU
rnacentral:rRNA from 1 species